rnacentral:rRNA from 1 species
CCACGCCGUAAACGAUGAGUGCUAGGUGUCGGGUGUCACAACUCGGUGCCGUCGUAAACACAGUAAGCACUCCGCCUGGGGAGUACGUGCGCAAGCAUGAAACUCAAAGGAAUUGACGGGGACCCGCACAAGCAGCGGAGCAUGUGGUUUAAUUCGAAGCAACGCGAAGAACCUUACCGGGACUUGAAAUCCUAUGGAAAGCGCAGGAGACUGUGCCCCUCUUCGGAGCCGUAGGACAGGUGGUGCAUGGUUGU